UGACGACAGAAAUGAUUCGAUGAACGAUGUGAGUUUAAGUGUAGUUUUCAUGCAGAUUAAUUCAUACGACACAAAGACACAAUUUUGUUUUACGGAUCAUUUCGGCUUAGAGGACUGGAUGAACAUGUGAGUUGUAAGCGACGCGUCAUGUUUUCCUGUCAUGGGAAAAAGGAUCAACACAUCCAACCCACCACACUAUAAAAAACCCACCCAUUCCAGGUCGGACGAUGCAACUAAAUGUAUCGAACACCAUCCUUCAGUACCAUAAAGACGAAAUUUUGAGGGAGCGAACAUAGAGGAACGCAGUAGAGCUGUCAGAAUACUUUGCGCUCGGAUUUAUGUGAUGUUACGCUUGACCACCAAUCCAAAAGUAUAAGAAUGGAAUCCAAGGCAGGGCAGUGGGUUUCUUCAGAGACAAUAUCCAUGUUUCCAACCCAACUAGAGGGGAACUUGUAUGAAACCCAGAGGGUAGCCCAAGUAUCUGUGCUUUACACAGAGGGGUCGCCUACACAGGGCACGAUAAAGAAACAAUAAAGUUCAUAGACAUUUCAUAGAAAUAGAGCUUAUUUUAUUUAAUAAGUGUGAUACUGGCAGUUAACUCAUUCAAAAUAUGUACAUGCCUCUAUCAACUAAAUCAUGCCCAGAUAAAAUAUGUUAAAAGCCUGAGACUGGCAAUAAAAUCAAUUCGAAGUAAAACAAUAUCUUAUCUGCAUUAGACUGCAACUUUAAUACAUAAAAGAUAUUUUCCGCGUAAUCGUGUCCAAAUAUAUACACAUAACUUGUGGCUUUAUCCCACUAACCAUGUAAAUAACGGGACACUUAUCGCAAAACAGCAACUACUUUCACAAUGCCUUAACAAGUUUUCUGAGUACAUACAAUUGAUAUGUUAAUCAGUUAUAUCAGUCAGAGUGUUGAAAUUUCGGGUAAUCUAUACAUUAAGUUGUAAUUAUAGGAACUUGUGCAUUUCAUAAAUGUAUCAACUGAGAAGAAUUGUUUUUAGAUAAACGCAGGCGUUUGCAAAACACUUCAUACACUGAUGAAAUACAGAACAAACUUUUUAUUUUUAAUUGAGCAUAUUGAAAGGAUACUCUUGCUUAAUGAUCGUGUGAUGUUUGCAUCACUUAUAUACUAAACGUGUGCACUGUAUUUCACAAUUUUUUAAUAGGAGGAAAUACCAUAUGCCGUAUCAACCA